CGAUUGUAGUCAUAUGCUUGUCUCAAAGAUUAAGCCAUGCAUGUCUAAGUAUAAACUACUUGUUAUACGGUGAAACUGCAGAUGGCUCAUUAAAUCAGCAAUAGUUUAUUUGAUGGUUACCUUUUACUACAUGGAUAGCCGUAGUAAUUCUAGAGCUAAUACAUGCGUAUAAUCCGGGAAGUAAAUGUAUCGGAGUAUUUAUUAGAUACCGAAAACCAACGUUAAGUAAUACGAUGGUGAGUCAUAAUAACUGUUAACGGACCGCGACUUAAAUGUCCUUCUCACGAGGGACUGCGGCAGUUCAUUCAAAUUUCUGCCCUAUCAGCUUUCGAAGGUAGUGUAGUGGACUACCUUGGCAGUGACGGGUGACGGAGAAUUAGGGUUCGAUUCCGGAGAGGGAGCCUGAGAAAUCGCUACCACAUCCAAGGAAGGCAGCAGGCGCGCAAAUUACCCAAUCCUGACUCAGGGAGGUAGUGAACAGAAAUAAGGAGGCUGGGCCCUUUUUAAACAGGGUUCGGUCAUCGGAAUGAGUACAAUUUAAAGCCAUUAACGAAAACCAUUGGAGGGCAAGUCUGGUA
rnacentral:rRNA from 1 species